AAAUCAAGAAGUUUUGUGCGGGCUGUGAGACAGAGCCAGAUUCUUGGGUUUUGUUAGAAGGACAAGUUAUUGCAAAGUUAGUUCUUGAGAAACACUGUGCCGGGAGAGGAGCAAAGUAUUCUGGAUCUAGUGCAAUCUGCACAUGCUGAGAGGUUCGUGAGAUGCGGCGGAUAACUGUGUGGCCUGACAACCACUGGAGAAGUGUCAGGGUUGCCCUUCAAACCUCCUCAAAGAUAUGCAAGGGUCCCCUGGCAUUGCACAGCCACACG